CAUUGUGGUUUUAAUUCGAAGCAACGCGCAGAACCUUACCAGCCUUUGACAUGGCAGGACGACUUCCGGAGACGGAUUUCUUCCAGCAAUGGACCUGCACACAGGUGCUGCAUGGCUGUCGUCAGCUCGUGUCGUGAGAUGUUGGGUUAAGUCCCGCAACGAGCGCAACCCUCGCCUCUAGUUGCCAGCAUUAAGUUGGGCACUCUAGAGGGACUGCCGGUGAUAAGCCGAGAGGAAGGUGGGAUGACGUCAAGUCCUCAUGGCCCUUACGGGCUGGGCUACACACGUGCUACAAUGGUGGUGACAGUGGGAUGCGAAAGGGCGACCUCUAGCAAAUCUCCAAAAGCCAUCUCAGUUCGGAUUGCACUCUGCAACUCGAGUGCAUGAAGUUGGAAUCGCUAGUAAUCGUGGAUCAGCAUGCCACGGUGAAUACGUUCCCGGGCCUU
rnacentral:rRNA from 1 species